rfam:Toxocara canis scaffold53, whole genome shotgun sequence.
GGGGUAGUAGCUCAGUGAUAGAGAUUCCGCUUCGUAUGCAGGAAGACCUGGGUUCGAUUCCCGGCUGCUUUC